rnacentral:sRNA from 1 species
CUGCACAACGCCAUGGAGAACAAGUAGUUCCGGACAAAUUGUCUGGGUGGGAUGGUGUGCUUGUAACGAGGACAGAAGGACGCAGCGAGGGGAUUAACUAGUUAUAACCCGCCCGGACCCUACAAGCAAAUCAAUUCUCCGUUGGCCUAUCGCUUCAUUAUACAAGAAAAUUCAUCCGCUUUGGUAGGGCUGGGACCUGGCACGUAUGAAGAAUGCACUAUUUCAUCUCUGGAGAUGCAAAACAAGGGGCUAUUUCCGUUUAUUUAUCUUGAACUUGACAAUCAUAGGGGUUUCAAAAAAAAAAAAAAAAAGGAGAGGGUGAGAGAAAGAUAGUGAGAACUCCCAUCCACACUACCAGUAUCACUUCUGAAUUCACCAGAAAUGAACCAACCGAACAAACAUAACGCAA